CCUACGGGAGGCAGCAGUGAGGAAUAUUGGUCAAUGGCCGUAAGGCUGAACCAGCCAAGUCGCGUGAAGGAAGAAGGAUCUAUGGUUUGUAAACUUCUUUUAUAGGGGAAUAAAGGUAUCCACGUGUGGAUAUUUGCAUGUACCCUAUGAAUAAGCAUCGGCUACUCCGUGCCAGCAGCCGCGGUAAUACGGAGGAUGCGAGCGUUAUCCGGAUUUAUUGGGUUUAAAGGGUGCGUAGGUUGUUUUUUAAGUCAGCGGUGAAAGUUUGUGGGUCAACCAUAAAAUUGCCGUUGAAACUGGAAGUCUUGAGUGUGUUUGAGGUAGGCGGAAUGCGUGGUGUAGCGGUGAAAUGCAUAGAUAUCACGCAGAACUCCGAUUGCGAAGGCAGCUUACUAAGCCAUAACUGACACUGAAGCACGAAAGCGUGGGGAUCAAACAGGAUUAGAUACCCGUGUAGUC
rnacentral:rRNA from 1 species